CCUACGGGGGGCAGCAGUGAGGAAUAUUGGUCAAUGGACGGAAGUCUGAACCAGCCAUGCCGCGUGCAGGAUGACGGCUCUAUGAGUUGUAAACUGCUUUUGUACAAGGGUAAACCUGAAUAUGUGUAUUCUGCUGAAAGUACUGUACGAAUAAGGAUCGGCUAACUCCGUGCCAGCAGCCGCGGUAAUACGGAGGAUCCAAGCGUUAUCCGGAUUUAUUGGGUUUAAAGGGUGCGUAGGCGGAUUGAUAAGUUAGUGGUGAAAUGUACGAGCUUAACUCGAGAACUGCCGCUAAUACUGUUGAUCUAGAGAGUAGAUGCGGUAGGCGGAAUGUAUGGUGUAGCGGUGAAAUGCUUAGAGAUCAUACAGAACACCGAUUGCGAAGGCAGCUUACCAAUCUAUAUCUGACGUUGAGGCACGAAAGCGUGGGUAGCAAACAGGAUUAGAUACCCCGGUAGUC
rnacentral:rRNA from 1 species